rnacentral:tRNA from 1 species
GGGUCGGGCCGCUGGUGCAGGGUUAUCGCCUGCUAAGCGGGAGGUCGCCGGUUCGAGUCCGGCCAGGCUCA